rnacentral:pre_miRNA from 1 species
AGUGAGAUUGCUGGGUUAUAUGGUAAGUGCCUGUUAAUUUUGUAAGAAACUGACAAACUGUUUUCCAGAGUGUUUGUACCAUUUUGAAUUCCCAAGAGAAAU